rnacentral:rRNA from 1 species
CCUACGGGAGGCUGCAGUGGGGAAUAUUGGACAAUGGGCGAAAGCCUGAUCCAGCCAUGCCGCGUGUGUGAAGAAGGCCUUCGGGUUGUAAAGCACUUUCAGUGGGGAAGAAAGCCUUGGGGCUAAUACCCUCGAGGAAGGACAUCACCCACAGAAGAAGCACCGGCUAACUCCGUGCCAGCAGCCGCGGUAAUACGGAGGGUGCGAGCGUUAAUCGGAAUUACUGGGCGUAAAGCGCGCGUAGGCGGUCUGAUAAGCCGGUUGUGAAAGCCCCGGGCUCAACCUGGGAACGGCAUCCGGAACUGUCAGGCUAGAGUGCAGGAGAGGAAGGUAGAAUUCCCGGUGUAGCGGUGAAAUGCGUAGAGAUCGGGAGGAAUACCAGUGGCGAAGGCGACCUUCUGGACUGACACUGACGCUGAGGUGCGAAAGCGUGGGUAGCAAACAGGAUUAGAUACCUAGUAGUC